rnacentral:tRNA from 1 species
GAUAGUAUAGUUAAUUCAUAACACAAACAUGUCAAGUUUAAAUUAUCCAUAAAGAUUACUCUCA